ACUCCUACGGGACUCAGCAGUAGGGAAUCUUCGGCAAUGGACGAAAGUCUGACCGAGCAACGCCGCGUGAGUGAAGAAGGUCUUCGGAUCGUAAAGCUCUGUUGUCAGCGCAAGAACAGGAAAAAGAGUGACUAAUGCUUUUCGA
rnacentral:rRNA from 1 species